CUGACGCAAAUCAACGCCCCUCUGCGCAGGCCCUGUCAAACGGCAGGAAUGCGCGACGGCGUCGAUUAGAGCGCCCGCUUCCGGAAGGCGGGACGGCUCCCAAUUACGGGCGAUGAUUGGAGAAGAUCCAGUUUGAUUGACUGCAUGCCCUCCGUCACGUGUGCGGGAGCUGUUGUCAUCACGUGAGGGUCCAAAGGAGGGCAAUGAGGACAGCGAACGGUCUGGAGAGCCUUAUAAGGAGCUACUGAGGACACUUCUUCUGUUCCUCCUGGAGAAGAGACCGAACAAGAAGAGUAGACCUCAUUGAGGUCUUCAGUAUCCUCAGGAGGAGAAGCGCAGGGGUACGUAACAGUCUCUUAACUCUCGUUAUCAGUGACAGGACCUGAAGGAAUGGCCUGAAGCUGAGUUGGGAAAGAUUUGAGUUGGAUAUUAGAAAAAAGUUCUUCAUCAAGAGGGUGGCUGAGCACUGGAAUAGGCUCCCCAGAAAAGCGGUCACAGCAUCAAAUCUGACAGCUCAAGAAGCAUUUGGACAAUGCUCUCAGGCACAUGGUGGGAUUGUUGUGGUGUCCUACACAGGGCCAGGAACUGGAGUUGAUGAUCCUGAUGAGUCUCUUCCAACUCAGCUUAUUCCAUGAUUCUGUGAUUCUAUGAACGUUCCCCACAUCACAUCCCCUUGCCUUGCAUCACACCAACCUUCUCCAUAGCACAUCCACCUGGCCCAUGUCACCCCAACCUGCCUCACAUCAUCCCGACCUGCCCAACAACAGACCAACCUGCCCCUCAUUGUGCCAACCAACCCCAUGUCAGACAAACCCUUCCUACGGCAUAUGGACCCAUCCCAUUUCAUGCCAAGCAAUCCCACAACAGGCCAACUCGCCUAACAUCAUACCAACCAUGAUGCCUAGACAUACCAAAGCCCAAUGCAACCAUCCCCUCAGCACCUACCUCCAUCUCAUCCCAUCCAGGCAACAUCCAUCCUGAACAGUGGAGACCAUGCCCACCUGGAACAGCACCAUCCCCACGUACGGUGCAGCUCUCAGAGCACCAGUCAUGCGCCUGUGCCCCACCAGGGCCAUCUAUCCCAACAGCACUCUGCAGCACCUACCUAGUGUAGAGGUGGUUGUACUGAAGACACCCAUCCCCAUGGCACUUGCAGGGACCAUCAGGGACUGAGUCAAAACACCUGUCCCUGCACUACUGGAAACACCAGUCCUGCCAUCCCUGCAGCAGCACUGGGAAUGUCCCUAAUGCAUGCCACAGCACUGGAAAUGCUUGUUCCCACUGGGCCAGGCAGCUCUGAAAGGGUUGAGUGUGCUUUACAGUGCUGGAAAACCCCAUCCUCUGCUCUUCCUCUCCUCCAGUCCUCCUGUCCUCAGCACCAUGCAUCUCCCACACCAUGGAGACCAUUCUGCUGGAAGCCCAGUAAGCCUUUAUUCACCUGCAGUACUCCUCAGUUUGUAAUAUUCCAUGCUGUAGUGAGGUGUUUUAACAGCAUUGUCUUCAGCACUUAUUUUGGUCUAAGGUAUUCAAAAGUGAACUUGUUAAAGAUAAGAAGUAAAAUAAAAUCUAGAAUGGAAAGUCAAGUUUUCUGGGGUUUGAUGGCUAUCCUUGUGGCAUUAAGCCAUCUUCCAUCCUGCUCUUUCCUUUGCAGCUGCUCACCAUGGUCUGCUUUUCUCCAUAAUGCUUCCUAGUCGAAAUGGAGAUGCUAAACUUUUCUUCUGGGUGAUUCCUUGGUUUAUCACAUAGUAACACAUCUAUAUGGACUUCUUUUCCCAAAUUGUUUGAUUCAACAUGUAGGCAUCAAAUAAAUUUGGUACCUCAAGCUUAA